UCACCUGGGGUCUUGUUGAAACUAAAAUUCUGAUUCAGUGGGCAUGGGAUGGGCCUGAGAUUCUGCAUUUCUAACAAGCUCUCAAGUGAUGCUAAU
rnacentral:miRNA from 1 species